AGGGAAUAUUAGACAAUGGGCGAAAGCCUGAUCUAGCAACGCCGCGUGCACGAUGAAGGCCUUCGGGUUGUAAAGUGCUUUUCGGGGAGAUGAGGAAGGACAGUAUCCCCGGAAUAAGGAUCGGCUAACUACGUGCCAGCAGCCGCGGUAACACGUAGGAUUCGAGCGUUAUCCGAAUUUACUGGGCGUAAAGCGUGUGCAGGCGGUUUGGUAAGUUGGAUGUGAAAGCUCCCGGCUCAACUGGGAGAGGCCGUUCAAAACUACCAGACUAGAGGACAGUAGAGGGAGAUGGAAUUUCCGGUGUAGUAGUGAAAUGCGUAGAUAUCGGAAGGAACACCAGUGGCGAAGGCGGUCUCCUGGACUGUAUCUGACGCUUAGACACGAAAGCUAGGGUAGCGAAUGGGAUUAGAAACCCCAGUAGUCCUAGCCGUAAACGAUGUAGACUUGGUGUCGGUGGGGUAAAAGCCAUCGGUACCGAAGCCAACGCGAUAAGUCUACCGCCUGGGGACUACGGCCGCAAGGUUA
rnacentral:rRNA from 1 species